GUCCAGACUCCUACGGGAGGCAGCAGUGGGGGAUAUUGCACAAUGGGGGGAACCCUGAUGCAGCGACGCCGCGUGGGUGAAGAAGCGCCUCGGCGCGUAAAGCCCUGUCAGCAGGGAAGAAAAUGACGGUACCUGAAGAAGAAGCCCCGGCUAACUACGUGCCAGCAGCCGCGGUAAUACGUAGGGGGCAAGCGUUAUCCGGAUUUACUGGGUGUAAAGGGGGCGCAGACGGCGAUGCAAGCCAGGAGUGAAAGCCCGGGGCCCAACCCCGGGACUGCUCUGGAAACUGCGUCGCUGGAGUACGGGAGGGGCAGGCGGAAUUCCCGGUGUAGCGGUGAAAUGCGUAGAUAUUAGGAGGAACACCAGUGGCGAAGGCGGCCUACUGGGCUUUAACUGACGCUGAGGCUCGAAAGCGUGGGGAGCAAACAGGAUUAGAUACCCGUGUA
rnacentral:rRNA from 1 species